UGAAUACGAAAUGCUACGGCAUUGAAGUGAUCUAUGCCAGGCUUCCAAGAAAAUCUCGUCAUAUCUUAAGCAGUAGAUGCCUGUACCUUAAACCGACACAGGUAGGUAGGUAGAGUAUACCAAGGGGCGCGAGAUAACUCUCUCUAAGGAACUCGGCAAAAUAACCUCGUAACUUCGGAAGAAGAGGUACCCUUGAAAAAGGGUUGCAAUAACCAGACCCUGGCGACUGUUUACCAAAAACACAGGUCUCCGCUAAUUCGUAAGAUCAAGUAUGGAGGCUGACGCCUGCCCAGUGCCGGAAGGUUAAAGAAGUUGGUCAAUCUUUGGAUGAAGCUGGCGACUGAAGCCCCGGUGAACGGCGGCCGUAACGAUAACGGUCCUAAGGUAGCGAAGUUCCUUGUCGGGUAAGUUCCGACCCGCACGAAAGGCGUAACGAUCAGGGUGCUGUCUCGGAGAGAGACUCGGCGAAAAAUACAUGUCUGUGAAGAUGCGGACUACCUGCACCUGGACAGAAAGACCCUAUGAAGCUUUACUGUAUCUUGGAAUUGGGUUUGGGCCUUGCUUGCGCAGGAUAGGUGGGAGGCUGUGAAGAUAUUCUUGCGGGAAUGUUGGAGCCAACGGUGAGAUACCACUCUAGUAAGGCUAAAAUUCUAACUCUGAACCGUUAUCCGGUCAGAGAACAGUUUCAGGUGGGCAGUUUGACUGGGGCGGUCGCCUCCUAAAAGGUAACGGAGGCGCGCAAAGGUUCCCUCAGGCUGGUUGGACAUCAGUCGUAGAGUGUAAAGGCAUAAGGGAGCUUGACUGCGAGACCCACAAGUCGAGCAGAGACGAAAGUCGGCCUUAGUGAUCCGACGGUUCCACGUGGAAGGGCCGUCGCUCAACGGAUAAAAGUUACUCUAAGGAUAACAGGCUGAUCUCCCCCAAGAGUUCACAUCGACGGGGAGGUUUGGCACCUCGAUGUCGGCUCAUCGCAUCCUGGGGCGGUAGUACGUCCCAAGGGUUGGGCUGUUCGCCCAUGAAAGCGGUACGCGAGCUGGGUUCAGAACUUCGUGAGACAGUUCGGUCCAUAUCCGGUGCAGGCGUUAGAGCAUUGAGAGGAGUCCCCCUUAGUACGAGAGGACCGGGGGGAAUACACCGCUGGUGUACCAGUUAUCGUGCCAACGGUAAACGCUGGGUAGCCAUGUGUAGCGCGGAUAACUGCUGAAAGCAUCUAAGUAGGAAGCCCACCUUAAGAUGAGUGCUCUCACCGCUAUAAGCGGGUAAGGUCACGGUAAGAACAACCGUUAUAUAGGCAUUAAGUAUACGUGCAGUAAUGCAUUUAGCUGAGAUGUACUAACAGACCGAGGGCUUGAU
rnacentral:rRNA from 1 species